rnacentral:rRNA from 1 species
AUUGAACGCUGGCGGCAGGCCUAACACAUGCAAGUCGAGCGAGCGGCGGACGGGUGAGUAAUGUAUGGGGACUGCCCGAUAGAGGGGGAUAACUACUGGAAACGGUAGCUAAUACCGCAUACUAUCGGAUAACCCAUAGGGGAUUAGCUAGUAGGUGAGGUAAUGGCUCACCUAGGCGACGAUCCCUAGCUGGUCUGAGAGGAUGAUCAGCAACACUGGAACUGAGACACGGCCCAGACUCCUCCGGAGGCAGCAGUGGGGAAUGUUGCACAAUGGGAGCAAGCCUGAUGCAGCCAUGCCACGUAUAUGAAGCGGUCCCUAGGUUUGUAAAGUACUUUCAGUCGGGAGGCGUUACCGACAGAGAAAGCACCGGCUAACUCCGUGCCAGCAGCCGCGGUAAUAC